CUGCAUGCUUAGGCUAGCCCUUGUGUGCAUCCAUGUUGCGGUAUGCUUCCAAUCGGUUAAGAGGAAAUCCAUCUUGUACAAUGCAUACCUGUUGGGAAGCAUAAAGCACUCUGGUGAAUCACUUUGGGAAUUAAUGGUUGUGCCAAAAAUUGGUACCAGAUCAUAGGUUGUUCUUCCAUUAUUUUCAAAAAAGCAAGUACAAGAUCAUGGUGUUACUGAAGUGAGAAGAUAAUUGAUCUAUAAUCCAGUUGUGUCAAGCCUGCAUCAAUGGUGUUUGCAAUGAUCAAAUAUCCCCCUCUUUUGUAGUAUUGACAAAAACCGUGCCAAUGUUGCUACAGUUUCAUCACCAAAAAUGAGAACCCGGUUUUGGUAAAUUAAUUUGUGCAAUAAUAUGUUCAUUACUGAUCCUGAACGAGGAGUAAACAGAUUAGUUUCUAAAGCUUCUCUGUUGGGAUGCAUAGGCCAGAAGGACAGCUAGAGUCGCCGCCAUCGCUUAUGGAGCUCCACACCAUUGCCCAGUUGUACAAUAACAUGCGCAAUCUUCUCCAUUCAAGACUAAAUGCAACUGGUGAACUCUUCGCCAAACAAGAUAUGAGGAUCAGGCAUAUAGGCCCCAUAAGGUAGCUAUAUAGUAAUUUAUGUGUAGUAGUGUGGAUCAUGGUCACAUUUUGUCUAGGACUGCAGAUAUCUAUGUCAAUAAAAAUGGAUAUUCUGCAUAUUCUUCUGAAUUUUUUUGAGAACUAUUCUUCUGAAUUUUUAGUAAGGGCUUCAUGUAUAAGGUAUGCAGUACUUCUGACUUAAAGAAUUGAUCAAUUCUUCACAUGCAGGAACGUGGAGAGAUGGAUCUGGUGGAUUGUAGCCACAAGGUGAGUGGCUUGAUCCUUAAUUAAUCCAGUUAAAUUUCAUAGAUUAUUGAUUAGUUUCUUAGCAAGAAGGGGAGCCUUGGCGCAGUGGUAAAGCUGCUGCCUUGUGACCAUGAAAACAGCCUCUUACAGAAAUGUAGGGAAAGGCUGCGUACAACAGACCCAAAGUGGUCGGACCCUUCCCCAGACCCUGCGCAAGCGGGAGCUACAUGCACUGGGGCUGCCCUUUAUUGAUUAGUUUCUUAGCAAGCAAAUUUCUAUACAUCAGAUUGGAGGGAUACUGCUGUAGUAUGUGGGAGAAAGAGUAUGUCUGCACCUGAUGGUGAUCUAAACGCUACAUGGGAAGACUCCUCAAUGGCAAUAAUAUACCAUGAUAAUGAUAAUGAUAUACUCCCUCCGUAAAGAAAUAUAACAGCGUUUAAAACACUUAAACCUAUGCUGAACAGGAGCAAGACAGAAAAGAAUAAGAGAUUCUCUCCAAAUUAAUUACGGAUUGUUUCCAGUGAUUUUAAAUUCCAAGUAAUAAAGGAUAUAAGAUUACAAUUCGUCACCUGGAAAAACAGAUCUUUGUAGUCAUAGCUAUGUCUUCUCCAAGUGACCAUACCCUUACGCAUUUGAUGAAAGUGGAUAUAUCAUCAAGAGCCCUGCAAGCAAAUUUAUCUACAGCAGGAAACACACAAUGAUGACAUAUCAGAUAUUCACCUUCACUAUCUGAAAUGUUUAAUGUUUACUUCCCCUUCUAACGUUAGCUUAUCUAGCAAAUUUCUGUUAUUCUGAAGAUCUAAUUGAUAAGUUUCAAAUAGUACAGGAGUGAGAUAUCCAGCUAUAAUUAGAGUAGGGAUCGACGCUAAUUAAACCUCUUGACACACUCAUUUGAAAGUCAAGUAUAUUUAUGCAGCGACGCCUUAUUACUCCUAAGAAUAUAUCAUUAUUGCUGCUCAUAGGAAGAUAUAUUACACCAUCAGUUGAGUUUAGCUAAAUCUGCAGUUUUCAUUACAAUGCAUGAACCUUAUUUAUCUUGCUUGACAAAAAAAGAGAGGAUGAAGUACCCAUCUUCCAGUCAUCUGGCAAGCAACAGUCUAGUUCAUAUUGCAGACCUUCUUAGCAAGUAUUAUCGAGUGCCAUUGUAUCUUGAAUAACACAAUUUAAGAAGGGGGAAAUAUGUAGAGGGAUUUUGAAUAGCACAUCACACAGAGGCACACCUGAUUGAAAUUACAUUUGUACAUUAGUACAUGGUAAACGUACAGUAUGAAUUAAAACUUAAUUGCAAAGAUAGGAUAAUCCAGACACGAAGUAAUGUCUAAGGACUAAGAUCAAGUCAGAAUUAAUCCUGAUGGUUAAUACAGAGAUGAGAAUUCAUUUCAUAACAUUAAUAUAUUAUUGACUUGUGCAAAUUGCAAAAUAAUCAAUCAGUACACUAAGGAAAGCUGGAGCUGAGCCGUGAGAAUCAAUUAGAGAGAUAAAAUGUGAGAACAUGCAAUGGCCAUAUAUUACUGGCUCCUACACAUCUUCGCGGAGGCUGGUGAGCUGGCUGGGAGGUGGCCGUAUCUCACUGGCUCCUGCACAUCUCCACGGCUCAGCUAUACCUUUCCUUUGUGUGCUCAAGCUCAGAGCAUUUUGAAGCGAUCUAUUAGCUCAUUCCACAAGCAACAGAGAGAAGGAAGCAACAAUUGAUUUGCUCAUAC
rnacentral:lncRNA from 1 species